UACACAUUCUGUGGUGUAGUUGGUAGCACAAUGGCUUAGUAAAUAUAAGUCCCUGGUUCAAGUCCCAGUCGGGGUAA